CUCUCUCCUCUCCCCCUCCCCCCCUCCCCCUCUUCUCUCGCUGCUGGUCUUAUUUUCGGCCGGGGAUGCCGUUUGCGGCAAGGAGCGGUGCUGUGCCUUCGAACAACAUGACCAUUUGACCUGGGCUGCGGCGCUACUUUCUGUGGAAGACUGACUGGAGCAUCAAGUAUCCUUUGUGCGUGGUCGCCGCUUCAGCAGCUGCCUUUCCCACCGUUUAACAGUUAAUAAUCAUUAAACACGGUCCCGUUGAGACGAAG